rnacentral:rRNA from 1 species
GUGCCAGCCGCCGCGGUAAAACGUAGGACACAAGCGUUAUCCGGAGUUACUGGGCGUAAAGAGCGCGUAGGCGGUUUGUUAAGUCUGCUAUGAAAGCACCUGGCUAAACUGGGUGAGGCUGGCGGAUACUGGCAAGCUAGAGUGAGACAGAGGCAGAUGGAAUUCCGCGUGUAGUGGUGAAAUGCGUAGAGAUGCGGAGGAACACCAGUGGCGAAGGCGGUCUGCUGGGUCUCAACUGACGCUGAGGCGCGAAAGCGUGGGUAGCGAACGGGAUUAGAAACCCUGGUAGUCC